rnacentral:rRNA from 1 species
CCUACGGGAGGCAGCAGUGAGGAAUAUUGGUCAAUGGGCGGGAGCCUGAACCAGCCAAGUCGCGUGAGGGAAGACGGUCCUAUGGAUUGUAAACCUCUUUAGGCGGGGAGCAAUGCCGGGCACGCGUGCCCGGAGGGAGAGUACCCGCAGAAUAAGCAUCGGCUAACUCCGUGCCAGCAGCCGCGGUAAUACGGAGGAUGCGAGCGUUAUCCGGAGUUAUUGGGUUUAAAGGGUGCGUAGGCGGAUUUUUAAGUCAGCGGUAAAAUGUCCGGGUUAAACCCGGGCCGGCCGUUGAAACUGGGGAUCUUGAGUGGGCGAGAAGUAUGCGGAAUGCGUGGUGUAGCGGUGAAAUGCAUAGAUAUCACGCAGAACUCCGAUUGCGAAGGCAGCAUACCGGCGCCCGACUGACGCUGAGGCACGAAAGCGUGGGGAUCGAACAGGAUUAGAUACCCCUGUAGUC